AUACCGAGUGAUUAAGUUAUAUUUAUAGGUAAAAAGACAGUUAGGUUUAUAAAUAAUUUUGUUUAUUGAAUAUCUAUAAAAAAGUAAAAUUUGUAUAUAGAUAACUAAUCUAGAAAUGGCCUAUAAUACUGAAGCUGUGAUAGUCUUGAGGGAAACUGGGAUUAGAUACCCCAUUAUUCUUGACUGUAAAUAUAAUUAAAUUUACCAGAGUACUAUGAAUAGUUAAAAAUUUAAAACUCAAAGGGCUUGGCGGUGUUUUAGACCAAUCAGGGGAACCUGUCUCGUAAUCGACAGUCCACGUUAUAUCUAACCUCAUUUUGUAUUCAGUUUGUAUACCGUCGUCGUCAGGUAACUUUUAAAAAUAUAGAAGUUAGCAAUAAAAAUUUUGUAAAUUAAGACGUCAGAUCAAGGUGCAGCCUAUAAUGAGGAGAGGAUGGGUUACAAUUAUAAGAUUCAUAAUUACGGAAAUUUAAAUGAAAUUAUAUUUAAGAAGGAGGACUUGAAAGUAAACUAAUAUAUAUAAAUAGUUUGAAUAAGGCUCUG
rnacentral:rRNA from 1 species